UUGCUAGCGCCGGCCCUGCUGGUGACAACUGGAAAGGCCCAUUUCCCCCAGAGAUCCCCUUUGCUCCGUCGGCCGCCUCAUCCCCCCAUCCCCCCCCCUUGGUCUCUCCCUGCCGGUUGGCUCCGCGGGCCAUUCUCAGGGUGCCGGCGGACAGGCGGACCGAGAGAGGGGUGGGGAGAGGCGGCCUCUUUCCCAGGCGCGCUCCUGUACGCAGGCUCCGAGGCCGGCUCCUCCCUGACCCUCCAAGGGCGACGGCGGCAGAGGGGCUCUCCUGUCUCGCCGGCAUCUCCAGCCUCAUGGAGGCGAGGCCGGGCAGCACCGGCAGCGGCGGCAGCGGCAGCAAGCAGAGCCGCCCUCGGGGGCUGGAGCUCCGCAGAGGCAGGUGAGCCUCGGCGCCCCUUGGAGCGCCCAGCCCGCAGCAGCCCCGAGUGCCGCGAAGAGGUCCGGGGGUGCAGGAACGGGAGGAAGGAUGCCCGAGCGUGCUCCCAUGAUCCGAAGCGAAGUGACUCUGGAUUGCAUAGGAAUAUGACCCUUCCGAACUCAAGGGCUUAUCCUGGUAUUCAGAACAGACCUGAGGCCUUGGAACAUAAGACGAGCCCUGAAGUUGGGUCGGGCCAAAGGCCUAUGCAGAUUUCCAGGAUGCCUGUUUGGGCUUGAACUAGGACCGAUUCAGUGCUGUGGGUCAGUUGUCUUUCCUCCUUUGUCGAUCUUUGAAUGGUUUGUGUCCAUCCCUGUAGAGUGUGAAGCAGUAACAAAGAGGAGAGUGUCUCUGAGCAUGUGCAAGAGCAGUGGCGUAGCGUGGGGGGUGCAGGGGGGGCUGGCCACACCGGGCGCAACAUCUGGGGUUAGGGCAAAUCCACGGGUUAGGGGGCGCAAAUCCACAGGUUAGGGGGCGCAAAUCCACGGGUUAGGGGGCGCAAAUUACUUGCCUUGCCCCGGGUGCUGACAACCCACGCUACGCCGCUGUGCAAGAGUAAGACCCUUCCUCUCCCUUCUGUUUUGUGACUUGAGGACACUCUUGGCCUCCAUUUGAGUUGUUGAAGGCGUGGGCAGGAUAACGGUUGUAGGGCUACAUCUGACUCAGCCUUAGAGCCAUAGCUCAGUGGGUUAGAGAGUAGUGCUGAUAAGGCUAAGGUUGCAGGUUCGAUCCUUAAUGUGGGACAGCUGCGUAUUCCUGCAUCGCAGGGGGCUGGUCUAGGACACCUUCCAGCUCGACAGUUAUAUGAUCAAGACAGAGUAGAGUAAGUAGUAACAGAAAAAAGAGUGCCUCUGGGGGCAUGCAGAGUGCAUUUCUUUCAUUAGUGGGGAAUCUCAGGCCCAAGGGCCAAAUGUGACCCUGCAGCCUUCCCUAUUGGGUCUUUCAAAGUCACGCCCCUCACUGGCCUCGACUGUGUUUGCUGGUCUGCAAAAUGUCCUUGAACUCUGAGAAUGCCUUUCCUGUGCCUUGAUGGAGGACAGAGAGGGGUGUGCGCAGAAGGGUAAAAUUCGCAUUUGUUGCUUUGCACGCUUUUGCCUCUGGCCCUGCCAACUGUUGGCAUGUCGCCAUUGGGCUGGAAAAGACUCCCUGCCUUUGCAGCAGUGAGCGGUUGCAUCUGAUCCACACAUGUCUCAAGAGCAGGGAAGCGGGCAUCUCAGCCAUUCCCUGGGACCAUUGGACUGGGGGUCUUUCUCUUACAGGGUGAGGCAGGGUCCUGUCAACCCUUGGGGUGCUUUAUUGUGCUUUUUUUGCACAGAUUUGGAGUGUGCAGUUCCUCCUGCCUUGCAUUGCUUUUUCAAAUCCCCUCUUUGAAAGCUGGAGUUCUCAGAACCUCCCGAACACUUGAGAUGGGCAUAAUCCAAGUUUAUUAGCUUUUUCGCCCUUCGUGGAUGGAGGCAGAGUUUUCCCUUCUGUUACUAC
ensembl:lncRNA